CUCGUAUGUAGCUUCCACGUGUGUGUCCUCUAGCGCGGACCUCCCUCCCCGCUGUGUCUCCCCAAAACUUUCUUCCUGUGUUGUAUAAUCACAAUCGCCUUAAGAAACCGGAUUAUUAGAAUUACUAAUCUCGUUAAGGUUUUUUCUAGAAGGACGUCAAAACAUCAAAAGUGAUGUCCUCUGUUACUUUGGCGGAACUAAUCCAGUGACCGAUACACCAGCGUUCCUCUGACUUUUUCUGAGUUCCAGUUACCUGUUGCUAAUGUAAGAAGUAUUUCUCUCGUCUGCUUCUCACUCCAGCCAGGCCAUGCUUUGAACAUUCACAAAUACCCGCUCUCUCCCGACUCAUCGAUUCCUCCCCCCUCUCUGUACACACUACAGGUCGGGCUUCUCGUCUGCUUAUAACUACUUUCUGCUUGUGUUUGUGCGCGCGUGAGUAGAGGGCGUAAAAAAAAAUACAAGUGUCGGAGCAGUUAUUAUUUUGGUGAUUUUGAUUUCAGGUCAAAAAAAAAAAA
rnacentral:sRNA from 1 species